CGCGUAGGCGGCUUGUUAAGUCUCGUGUGAAAAACCUGCUUUCAAGGCAGGAGGUGCACGGGAAACUGGCAAGCUUGAGUGCAGGAGAGGAAAGUGGAAUUCCAAGUGUAGCGGUGAAAUGCGUAGAUAUUUGGAGGAACACCAGUGGCGAAGGCGACUUUCUGGACUGUAACUGACGCUGAGGCGCGAAAGCGUGGGGAGCAAACA
rnacentral:rRNA from 1 species